rnacentral:rRNA from 1 species
UACGUAGGUGGCAAGCGUUGUCCGGAUUUACUGGGCGUAAAGGGCGUGCAGGCGGUCUGUUAAGUCUAGGGUGAAAGCUCCCGGCUCAACUGGGAGAGGUCCUUGGAUACUGGCGGACUUGAGGGAGGCAGAGGAAAGUGGAAUUCCCGGUGUAGUGGUGAUAUGCGUAGAUAUCGGGAGGAACACCGGUGGCGAAGGCGGCUAUCUGGACAGAAACUGACGCUGAGGCGCGAAAGCUAGGGGAGCAAACAGG